UACGCAUCUGUGUGGGAUAGGAAUAGGAAUUGAUGGUUAUACAGUAUGGAUUUACGGAAGAGUUUUAUGAAUAUGAGGAAAAUUAAUUUCCCGUUAGAUAACCGGGUAUCGUUAAACAGACUUUUUCUCAUUGUCUAAUUAUUUGAUUUGGUUAUCUAAUAUAAGGAAAAAGUCAAUAAGAUAACAAAAAUUUAAAAUAAUUUAAUAAUAAUUUAGAAUUGUACAGAUAAAAUAUAUUUUCCAUUCUAAGUAUUAUAAAAAAGAAAAAAAAAUCUCUUGAGAAGAGUGAAUAACAGUACAUUAUUGUAAAACUUUUUAUUACCACCAAUUUAGAGACUUGAGAGUGCAAUUUUUUUAUAUAUCUAUUUUGUCAACGUGAAUUAUAAAUCUAAGAUGUAGUCUAUCAGUCUAUAAAAUACAUUAUACAUUAAUAACAAUGCUAUAAUUUACACAUAAAACUUUCAAUUCGUUAAGUAUUAAAACGAUUUCAGCUUCACUUCUACGAAAGUUGAAAUAGCCCUAUAUUCAUUUCAGUAUCUUUGAUUUCUUGGCAAUUAACCUAGUUAGCUCGUUUUAAUUACAGUUGAUUAUUAUAUCACAAGUUUCAACCGGUCCCGGGAUUACGGCAAGCAGCCGCGAAGUUUCAAACGAUGGAUUAUUAAUUGCUACGUUUUACGACCGGCCGCUUGCCUGACGUCAACCCUCUUUGUGAUAAGAACUGUACGAAUUUGGAACAUAAAGCCGAAUGGGGCGUUACAGGUUAAUUCUCGAUUAGCAUAUAAGAAAAAUUGUCGGACAAAGGACUUACCUACAUCCAGCCAAUAACACUUGUCGGUACAUUUCAACUGAGCUCUUUCCACCAAAUUGUCUUCCUGACAAAUAGGUGUUAUGCGACGAAUUGAUAUAAUAGUGAGCUAGAGGUUGAUCCAUGUCCAUGUAAUUAUCGAGCCGGUCCAGAAACACGGGGGCGUUUUCGUCAGACAUGAGAUAUCGGAUCAACCCGUCUUUUGUGAGGCAUUCUUGAAAAGACAAAAAGUAACAAGGAUCACGCAAGAACUACUGCAUCAAAUUAGAUAUGGUUUACACAGUUGUGUUUCUAAAAUCUGUUAUAUGCUUUAUCAUGUUACGCCAUCUAAAAAUGGUCUUUUUAUUUCCUAAUUACAAAUUCCACACGUACGAAGUCGCGUGCAAAUUUAAUAUAAUAUAUAAAUGCAUGUAAAUAAUAAUUUUACUUACCUACAUUUAUAUAA